GGGCAUAUGGCGGAAUUGGUAGACGCGCUAGUUUCAGGUACUGGUGGUAGCGAUACCUUGGAAGUUCAAAUCUUCUUAUGCCCACCA
rnacentral:tRNA from 1 species